UUAACCCAAACGCAAAAUUCGCAAUUAAUAGUACCCGCAUUUAAAAGUAACCUUAAGGUACUGAUAUAUUGCCCAUCCUUAUUGGUACUGCAUUUCUCUAUUCUCAUUGUUGUGUUCCUUGAUCCCUAUUCUUGUAUAUCUUAAUUUGUCUCGUAUUGACAUUUCUUCCUCUCUUUUGCCUUCUCUCCUCCUAGUAUAUGUACAUGUACAUCUAACUUUUGCUCUUUCUCUUUUCUUCCUAUAUAGGAUUCUCCUAUCUCUUAUGUUCUUUGUCUUCUUGUGUAUAAUACAGUUCCUUACUGAUACUAUAAGCUUGUGUUAACACAUACACAUUGUGUGUCAAGAAUCAAGAUUCCAUUUCCGGCAAAAGAUGUGGGAGCAGAACUAUCCUAACAACAUGAUGGAGAAUGGAAUUAAGACAAAAUACUAAAAAUAUUCAGAGCAUGUCCAAUUUGAACAAUGCCGUUAACUACUCAUAAUCAAUAAACAGUUUGUUCCAUGGACAUUAACUUAUUACUUAGAGAAAAGGAUGCGUUGAGAUUAAUAUGCACUAAUGCAAUGUGUCACCAUUUUCUUGAUGCAUCAAGCUUAGGAGAUACUGAGGUCAU
rnacentral:lncRNA from 1 species